CAAUAGCUCAGUUGGUUAGAGCACUUGACUGUUAAUCAAGGGGUCCUAGGUUCAAGUCCUA
rnacentral:tRNA from 1 species